AAUCCAUGGUGGGGACACCUUCGCAGUAGGUCCUUGUAUCUCCCCCAUGCAUCGUAAAGAUUUUCUAAGUCCAUCUGCAUAAAAGAAGAGAUAUCAUUAAGUAAUU
rfam:Gossypium arboreum cultivar AKA8401 contig_23340_1, whole genome shotgun sequence.